UUGGAUGUAUGGAGAUGAUCAAAGAGAGCAAAUCCAGAUUCUAUAUUGCAAGGAGAUGUCUGGCCAUGCUCAUCUGUUGGCAUAAAUAUGAUGGGAGCUGGUAAUGUUGGAGACAAUGGCACCUUCCUAGGAGGCUUCGGUAACAACAGUUUAUGUUUGUUUUUGGAUUCUCUCUGUUCCAUGACAACCCCAUUGUAUGAUAAAACUCCUCUGUUCCUCUCAUUUUUCUGCUAAAUCUCCAAUGAAAACGACACGCUCCAACGUCCCUCCCUA